CGGCACUAGAUGUAUGCUCAUGCUCGCUGUCGCCGCAGGGGAAUCCGGUGGGAAUCCGGAACUGUCCCGCAACGGUGUACUUGUGCGCAUACGCGCACAGGAGUCAGUCCGAGGACCUGUCGGCAGCAAGCGCCAGCC
rnacentral:ncRNA from 1 species